rnacentral:rRNA from 1 species
UACGGGGGGGGCAAGCGUUGUUCGGAAUUACUGGGCGUAAAGGGUUCGUAGGUGGCUUGCUUAGUCAGACGUGAAAUCCCUCAGCUUAACCAGGGAACUGCGUCUGAUACUGGAUGGCUUGAGUUUGGGAGAGGGAUGCGGAAUUCCAGGUGUAGCGGUGAAAUGCGUAGAUAUCUGGAGGAACACCGGUGGCGAAGGCGACAUCCUGGACCAACACUGACGCUGAGUGAGCGAAAGCCAGGGGAGCAAACGGG